UCACAAAGUAAAAUUAAAUUGCACUGAAGAUCCACUACUCAUAGUUUAUUUGGGGUCUGGAUGAGGACUAGGUAAGAUGCUGUCUUUUGGUAGCUCCUUCAGACAGAAUCUUAAGCGUAUGCGAGUGCAGUGAAGUUCCCUGGCCUCCUUUGUUAAGUCAGAGUGACACAUGGUGACAGAGGCUCCAUCCUGCUAAUACUAUCAACAUUUUGGACUCUGUGUAUACGGGACUCUUGAAUUCACACUAGAAUCACUGGAUUUGUAUUGGGGAUAACCCAUCUGUAGUCAUCAAAACAUCACAGGCUGUGCAAAGCAAUACUAUCAGUGACAUCACUGUGGACAUUCAAGAGGCAGACCCAUCAUUCAUCUGAACUACGUCGUGUGCAGAAUACUAUGAAUACACCACAGUGUGUUGUAGGGGUGCUCCAAAUGAUGUGUGGCAUGGGGCUGACUGUCCUGUGGGCAAUAGUGAUUUCUGAUUUGUUUCAUUCUGACCUUUCCAUAAUACAAUUCCACAAUGUGUUGCCCUAUGUAUAUCUUUUGGUACCACUCAUUUAUAUCACAUCAGGAAUUCUGACCGUGGUGACUGAAAUCAUAGUGAAUUACUACAUGACUGUGGCCUUUGUAUUAGUAAAGUUUGUGAGCUUUCUGGCUGCACUGGUAUUCACAAUAAUUCAUGGCAUAAAUUUAUUUGAAGGUGCCAUGGAGAUUGGUAUAUUCCCUGCAGAUAUCAUAUCAUUCAUCCUCACGAUGUUUGAGCUCAUCUCCCUUCUGCUGUGCUGUUGUUUUCAGUGACUGCACAUAGAUAUGGAUCUUGCCCUGUUUCUUACCAAGAGGAUAUGACUGCCCUAAGUGGUCUUCCCCUCUUUCCCUCCGUGAACCUCAACAAGCUGAAACAGCCACAUCGCACACGGUGUAAUGCAGAAAUUGCUACCAUCACAUUUCUUCUCUCUCAAAACACUCUAAGAAGGCAGUCCCUGUUUAGGACACACAUUGCCUUUCUUAGUAAAUAUUCCACUCCCUCGGAAGCCUCUCACAAGCAGGUCAGUGCCAGCCUGCCUUGCACCAUCUGGAGUAGCAUCAGCUCCUAGGAACGUGUGUACAUCAAAGUUAAUAUUUGCCAUGAAUUUGUACCAUUCUCAUUACCAAUAACAGAUUCCAUGUAAGUAUAAAUAUUAGAUCACAAGUGAAGAUCUGUCAGAACAACAACAAAAGUAAUUUUAAAAAUUCUUUAGGUGACCUCAGAAGUAAGUGGCUCUUUCCAGAAGAAAAGAAACUCCACUACAAUAGAGAUCUAAGAUUCAAGAUUUGUACCACAGAGAUUCACUGACUACCACUGAGUUUGAGAAUGAUAAGUACUAAGAAGAUUCAGUUUAAACAGAAUAGAAAAUUCGGUUCCAUACAAUUCUUGAAACUCAGAAUGAGCCUGUAGUGUGGUCACGGUUCAAGGACAAUAAAUGUGCUAUUGAUGUAAAGGGAAAAAUAAUAGUUUCCCCAAUAUAAUGUAGGUAGUUCUCUCCACGCAGAGGGAAUCAAGCUGAGCAAAGACAGAAAACAAUAAUUUGUUUAAUUAGUCCAUUCAUGUUUUAGAAUUUUACUAUGAUUAUUCCAGGAUGAAUUUUGCAGUUAUGCAUUAUAUAAUAUUAAUGACUCAGAAUUUAGAAGGUUUUCCCAAUAAGAACAUGGUGUUGUAGUGUCUCUAAGACUUUCUUAAUUUCUAAAGUAAAGCAUCUGACAAAAAUAUAUACAUUCUAUAAUUUGGGAACAACAUAAAUAUGCAUCUUGGCUAUUUUUCUUAUUGUUGGGACAAAGUAUGUAAAAACCACAAGUGAAAAGAAGGGAGGUUUAUUUAGUUCACAAUUUGUAGAGGUUUCAGUCCAUACUUACCUGAUUUCCAGGCAGGGAGCCAUGUAAGAGGGGAAUAGCAGAGGAGAAGCAGUCUAUGUCAGGGCAGGCAGGAGACACCAAGCCACAGCAGCAGCAGCAGCUAGACUUCCUCUGUCCCUUUAUAUUCCAUGAAGACUGUAAUCUAUUGACUGCUGCCAUUCACAGCCAGGGUGGGGCUUCCAUUAAUCCAACCAAGAGCUAUAUGAAACCAAUUAGAAAACUAACCAUUCAGCCAAGUAUCACAACCUCAAUCCACAUUCAUCCACCCUAGCUCAGCCAACUCCAAAAAUCUCCUCUUAUUAGCACAUGAGGCUUGUAUGGAGGUAAUAUUUAGAUAUAAGACUUCAAUAGAUAGCAAAGUAAUAAAUUUUCCACAGACAUAGAAUGUUUACAACUCUUUUCCACCUAAUGAUAAACUGGAGAAAACUAAUAUGGAAAUAGCACCUUCUAAGGACAACUAAAAAUAAUUUCUAAGUAUUCAUAGAAAUUUAGAAAAGGAAACCAUUAACAAUUUUGCAAAAGUAAAAACAAAUAUUGAAUUAUAAUAAUAAAUUUA